AACAGAGGGUGCAAACGUUGUUCGGAAUUACUGGGCGUAAAGCGCGUGUAGGCUGCUUCGCAAGUCGGAUGUGAAAGCCCUGGGCUCAACCUAGGAAGUGCACUCGAAACUGCGAAGCUUGAGUCCUGGAGAGGAAGGCGGAAUUCUCGGUGUAGAGGUGAAAUUCGUAGAUAUCGAGAGGAACACCGGUGGCGAAGGCGGCCUUCUGGACAGUGACUGACGCUGAGACGCGAAAGCGUGGGGAGCAAACAGG
rnacentral:rRNA from 1 species